CCUCUACCAAUGUGUUCUCCCCAAACUCUCACAGCAACCCUUGGGAAGGUACGGACCAUCACUCCUGCUUUGCAGGUAGGAAAAUGUGAGGCUCAGAGAGGUUGACUUGCUCAAACUAGUGACAUUUUAACCAGGGCUGCUGGAAGACCUAGAAAGUCUCCAAGACUGGAGAUGAAGACACCCGGGUCUCCAGGGCUCCUGAAGGAGACAGGCCGGUCGAGGGGGCCAGAAGGUACCAGAAGGGCAGCAAGUGAGUCCAAAUGUUGAGAGUCUCGUUGGUCAUUUGGAAAAGGCUGAGGAUGCAGGCAGUGGCAGAACUCUGUGGAUGGCGGUAGCCGAAGAGGAUGCCUUGCUCAUGGAACACCUGCAGAGUCAAAGGAAAAGGACACUGGGGUGAGACCAGAGGGUGGCACAAAGGUCUCUGGAGAAACAUCUUCCAGGCCAUGCACUGUGUGCCUGGAACGCUUGACCCCAAGUCCUUGAACUGUUAAGCUGUUCCCCUCACUCUCUCCUUCCCUCGCAGUAGCUUCUAAAAUCCCGUGUCCUCCAAGAAGCCUCCAGCCAGCUGGAGGAGGGAAUUCAAGGGCCAGGCUCCCUUUGGGAAUCCAGCCUGUCUUUGCAUUCCCCGGCGUACUUACUCUUCACAUGAAUCUUGCCUAAGAAUCCGUUUUCUCACCCCUCUGCCUGGGGCCUACAGCCCAGUUUUUGGACGCCUUUUUGGUGAGCUGACAUAGAUGCUGUCUGAGCCGGCAAGCCCUGCACGUCAGGGGCUGGUGGGAAGAACUCUGCAGAAGAUGCCCCCGGUGCCAGGAUAUAUUCACCAAGGUGCUUCAUAAAGGGCUUUUGAUGAUGAGGACCAUGAUGCUGAUGCCUGGGCUGCAGGAAGAGGAGGCGGCUGCCCACAGCAGGGCUGCUCAAGCCACCCCCACCCCCAUGCAGCCCAUUUGGCAAGUCCCCCCCCAAAAAACACCCCCACUGAGAAACCUGGACUGAUCAGGUGAAAUAUGGGGUAUCAACCUUCCUGGAGUAUUGUAUUACAUCCACUAAAAGUGUUUUUGAUUCACCAUUCAAUUCUGCUGACGUCCCCGGUUUAUGGUAGACAGCUUCCUAUAACGGGCAGCAGGAAUCUUGAGUUGCAGAUUUCCACCCCACCAAGGCUGAUGACAAGGAGGCAAAUAGGCCAAUGGCCUUCAGCCUUUGAUCCUGUGGAGGAGAACAGCACGUGCUUGGCAGGACUCGGAAAGCCCUCUAACAGAAAUAACAGCUCCCAGGAGCUGCACACUGGGUCUAUCCUUCCACCUUUCAAGCUUCUUUCUCUCUUCCUUUCAAGUUGUUGUUUUAUAAUUAUUAAUUAAAGCA